AUAAACCGGAGGAAGGCGGGGGAUGACGUCAAGUCCUCAUGGCCCUUACAUCCCGGGCUACACACGUGCUACAAUGGCAGGUACAGAGGGCUACGAAGCCGCGAGGUGGAGCGAAUCCCAGAAAACCUGUCUCAGUCCGGAUUGAAGUCUGCAACUCGACUUCAUGAAGGCGGAAUCGCUAGUAACCGCGAAUCAGCAGGUCCGCGGUCGAAUACGUUCCGGGCCUU
rnacentral:rRNA from 1 species